rnacentral:tRNA from 2 species
CGCGGGAUAGAGCAGUUUGGUAGCUCGUCGGGCUCAUAACCCGGAGGUCGUUGGUUCAAAUCCAGCUCCCGCAACCA